CAAUUCCCACAAUGCUCGGCGCGAGCCCGCGGCGCUGCAUGGGAAACCCGAGCGGUGGUGGCCAUCUUGCGUAUGGAGCCCCUCCUGCCUUGCAUAUCUCCACCCCACCCCCUCUCGGCUUCGUAGCAGCUUCUUGGACCGUCAUUCGCCUUCCCGGAGAUGCCUUAUAGUGAAAUUGAGGCUAAGUUUUUGGGACCUGGAAAAGAACUAACAAGAGAACCAUGCUAUAAAAAAUUGAAGUCGACUACAGAUGGCUGUGUUUUCCCCCAUCGAGGUGGCCCUGAUAAUCAGAGAAUCCAAGCGAAGACCGGAAAUAAUAGUAGGGUCUCUGUGGCCACCAUUCACUUCAGGAGACGUAUUUGUCCUCAGGAAGAAAAAACCAAAAGUACAGAGGUGUUACAGCCUUCGCAGGAGGAGAUGCCUGGUAAUAAACCAGGUGGUGCCGAGUCCAUCAGUUCACAAGCGGUGCAGGAUGGAAAGCCUUUGCCACUGUCCAGGGAUGAUGGAAUCUACAGCACAAGUAAAGCAUUCAUAGGCCCCAUGUACAAACCCCCUGAAAAAGAGAAAUGCCGAGAAAGGAGGGCCGAGACCCACCCUCUCAGUGGUACAGAUGGCAAAAGAAGACAAGAGGAAAAGCAGAAAUUUAGCUCCAAAAAAUUGGAGAUCGACACAGAAUUAUCCCAGUUUUACAAAGAAAUUGAAGAACUGGAAAAUGAAAACGAAGCUUCACAAGGCAGUUGUAAGGAACCAGAACCUUCCCAGAAGCAGAUCAUCCCUUACGACCAGAGCUAUAAUGCCUUAGAAUCUGAAGAGGAGACUAAAGCUCUCCGCAGUGCUCCUCAGUCACGUGCUUACCAGCACUGUGUGGAGGAUGCGCCAGGCAGCUAUCCCUGUGAAGAGCAAGUGAUCCCUGCCUUUCCCUCCUUCAGGCCCGAGUGGCCGUCAAUACAUCCUUUUGUCUUACCCCACGGUCCUCCUCUUCCCAGUUUUGAUUAUCAUUUUAAUAUUGAGAGGUUUGGUGCCCCACUAGAUCCUCUACCACACAUCUUCGAUGUGCACGCUGACUCUCAGAUGCGCAGUGGGUGCUAUGUGGAUAGUUGUCAGGACAGCUGGAGCUAUCUGACUUCUAAUCAGAUGGAUGAGUAUACUAACUAUGCUGUGACCGGCAGUGAUUUUCAUCCCUUUAGAAGUGACUAUAGUGUACACGAUGACAGUGUGAAUAAUGGUUUCUAUGAAACCAGAGUGUGCUGGCGAGACCCUCCCUUGAACAAGCAUAAUGAAACAGACAGGUUUGUGAGCCAGUGGUUUCCAGAGGAGAACUUAGAUAAACUACAGAAAUUACUGAUUCUUUUGCGAGGCCUCCCUGGUUCUGGAAAAACAACAUUAUCUCGAAUUCUGCUUGGUCAGAGCCGUGAUGGCAUCGUGUUCAGCACUGAUGACUACUUUCAUCAUCAAGAUGGGUACAGGUACAACGUUAACCAACUUGGUGAUGCCCAUGACUGGAACCAGAACAGAGCAAAACAAGCUAUCGAUCAGGGGAGAUCUCCAGUUAUAAUAGACAACACUAAUACACAAGCCUGGGAAAUGAAACCAUAUGUGGAAAUGGCCAUAGGAAAAGGAUACAGAGUAGAGUUUCAUGAGCCGGAGACUUGGUGGAAGUUUGAUCCUGAAGAAUUAGAAAAGAGGAAUAAACAUGGCGUGUCUCGAAAGAAGAUCGCUCAGAUGCUGGAUCGCUAUGAGUUUCAAAUGUCCAUCUCUAUUGUGAUGAAUUCAGUGGAGCCAACACAGAAAAGCAUACAGAGACCCCUUCCUGUCCAGGGGGAGCCGAGUACACCAAGAAAUGUGUAGUUAGUCACAUGAGUCCAUCCAUUUUGGACGCCACACAGGUUUGCUGAAGACACGGAGCUCAUGAUGGAUCCCCAUGGUUGAAGCCUCUAAGACAGCCAGAGUAAAAAGAGGGAGAAAUUUGAAGAAAAGUGGGUACAGGCUUGACAAAAGCAAACAGAAGAGAAACAGCAAAGGAAAGAAAAGUAACAAUGGUCCUAGUGAGAACUCACUUAGAACCUUAGGUCACCUUGUGCCUGGAGGUCAGGCUCAUUCUCAG